UUGUCAACGUUAUAAACUUUAUAGAAAUAUUUUUUAUUAAUGACCAAGUAUAAAGAACCAUGCAUAGCGUGAAAACGCGGAUUAUAUAAAAGUAUAUAAUAAAGUGCGAGCAGAGGAUCAAUCAAACUUGGGCUGGAAUGAUUGUAGUGCAUCCAAUGCACCUUGGAAUUCGUAGUUUACAUCUACAGCAGCAUAUGGUACAGCAGUGACAACGCCAAAGAAAAGGACUACAUUUCCCAGAAUGCACCUGCACCCACUCAUCUGCCCCCACUCUUCAGGUGCGACUGCUUGACCUAUGGGCUUGACGGGAGAAUUCAAAAUCGCGAACCGUUACAGCCUGGACUUCUCGGUGUCUUUCUUUGUUUGUUUGCUCAUCAACAGUAAGAGGUCAUGUACACUGUGGUCAACUUGUGGACGCUGAAGAGGUUUCUGGGUAAAGAUGAUAGAAAUAAUGAAGUAACAGUGGAAGCUAAAACAUCAGACUGAUCCAGACACUGAAGAAAUUGAUGUCACUGCAAUCUGGCCAAAAUGAUAGAAAUAUAAUGAAGUAACAGUGGAAGCUAAAACAUCAAACUGAUCCAGACACUGAAGAAAUUGAUGUCACUGCAAUCUGGCCAAAAUGAUACAACUAUAUUGAAGUAGCCUACUGUAAUGAAGCUGCAGAACGUCACAGAGACUCUGAGGACAUCAACACAGAAUAUCAAGGCUCCCAAGAGAUGUCUGUCCAGAUGAGGGUGCAUCAACGUUACCUUUGCUGACAAGUAUAUGCUUUACAAUGUAAAACCUAACAGUUAACUUAACUCAAACCAUUUAAGGAAAUUGGUUGCCUUAAAUCAUUAAGUUUUAAAAAAACAUACAUUUGAGUACUGUGAACUUAAGUCUUGUGCAAUUAUGCACUUAUAUUUAGGUAGUGUGAACUUAAAUAUAAGUGCUUAACUGCAUGUGACUCAAUUUGUUUAAGUUCACAGUACUCAAAUCUAUGUGUUUUAAAACUUGAAUGGUUUAAUGCAACCGGUUUUCUUAAAUGUGAGAAAUUACAGUGUUACAGUGAGAAAUGUUUGAAUAAUUCCAAGACAGAGCUCUGUGAUUGAUUCUACAC